AUUGAACGCUGGCGGCAUGCCUUACACAUGCAAGUCGAACGGCAGCGCGGGAGCAAUCCUGGCGGCGAGUGGCGAACGGGUGAGUAAUACAUCGGAACGUGCCCAAUCGUGGGGGAUAACGCAGCGAAAGCUGUGCUAAUACCGCAUACGAUCUACGGAUGAAAGCAGGGGAUCGCAAGACCUUGCGCGAAUGGAGCGGCCGAUGGCAGAUUAGGUAGUUGGUGAGGUAAAGGCUCACCAAGCCUUCGAUCUGUAGCUGGUCUGAGAGGACGACCAGCCACACUGGGACUGAGACACGGCCCAGACUCCUACGGGAGGCAGCAGUGGGGAAUUUUGGACAAUGGGCGAAAGCCUGAUCCAGCCAUGCCGCGUGCAGGAUGAAGGCCUUCGGGUUGUAAACUGCUUUUGUACGGAACGAAAAGUCUCUUUCUAAUAAAGAGGGAUCAUGACGGUACCGUAAGAAUAAGCACCGGCUAACUACGUG
rnacentral:rRNA from 1 species